GACGAACGCUGGCGGCGUGCCUAAUACAUGCAAGUUGAGCGCUGAAGGUUGGUACUUGUACCAACUGGAUGAGCAGCGAACGGGUGAGUAACGCGUGGGGAAUCUGCCUUUGAGCGGGGGACAACAUUUGGAAACGAAUGCUAAUACCGCAUAAAAACUUUAAACACAAGUUUUAAGUUUGAAAGAUGCAAUUGCAUCACUCAAAGAUGAUCCCGCGUUGUAUUAGCUAGUUGGUGAGGUAAAGGCUCACCAAGGCGAUGAUACAUAGCCGACCUGAGAGGGUGAUCGGCCACAUUGGGACUGAGACACGGCCCAAACUCCUACGGGAGGCAGCAGUAGGGAAUCUUCGGCAAUGGACGAAAGUCUGAACGAGCAACGCCGCGUGAGUGAAGAAGGGUUUCGGAUCGUAAAACUCUGUUGGUAGAGAAGAACGUUGGUGAGAGUGGAAAGCUCAUCAAGUGACGGUAACUACACAGAAAGGGACGGCUAACUACGUG
rnacentral:rRNA from 1 species